rnacentral:rRNA from 1 species
GCGGUCGCCUCCCAAAAGGUAACGGAGGCGCUCAAAGGUUCUCUCAGUACGGUCGGAAAUCGUACGUAGAGUGUAAAGGCAAAAGAGAGCUUGAUUGCAAGACAUACAGGUCGAGCAAGGAUGAAAAUCGGACUUAGUGAUCCGGUGGUUCUGCGUGGAAGGGCCAUCGCUCAACGGAUAAAAGCUACCCUGGGGAUAACAGGCUUAUCUCCCCCAAGAGUCCACAUCGACGGGGAGGUUUGGCACCUCGAUGUCGGCUCAUCACAUCCUGGGGCUGUAGUAGGUCCCAAGGGUUGGGCUGUUCGCCCAUUAAAGUGGUACGCGAGCUGGGUUCAGAACGUCGUGAGACAGUUCGGUCCCUAUCCGUCGCAGGCGUAGGAAAUUUGAGAAGACCUGUCCUUAGUACGAGAGGACCGGGAUGGACGUACCUCUGGUGUACCAGUUGUCCUGCCAAGGGCAUGGCUGGGUAGCUAUGUACGGAAUGGAUAAGCGCUGAAAGCAUCUAAGCGCGAAGCCAACUUCAAGAUAAGAUUUCCCACCGCAAGGGUAAGACCCCAGAAAGACUAUCUGGUUGAUAGGUCGAAGGUGUAAGUGCAGCAAUGUAUUUAGCUUAUCGAUACUAAUAGGUCGAGGACUUGACCAAU